GAUGAACGCUGGCGGCGUGCUUAACACAUGCAAGUCGAACGAUGAGGCCCAGCUUGCUGGGUGGAUUAGUGGCGAACGGGUGAGUAACACGUGAGUAACCUGCCCUUGACUCUAGGAUAAGCCCGGGAAACUGGGUCUAAUACUGGAUAGGAACGUCUACCGCAUGGUGGGUGUUGGAAAGAAUUUCGGUCAUGGAUGGACUCGCGGCCUAUCAGCUUGUUGGUGAGGUAAUGGCUCACCAAGGCGACGACGGGUAGCCGGCCUGAGAGGGUGACCGGCCACACUGGGACUGAGACACGGCCCAGACUCCUACGGGAGGCAGCAGUGGGGAAUAUUGCACAAUGGGCGAAAGCCUGAUGCAGCGACGCCGCGUGAGGGAUGACGGCCUUCGGGUUGUAAACCUCUUUCAGUAGGGAAGAAGCGAAAGUGACGGUACCUGCAGAAGAAGCACCGGCUAACUACGUG
rnacentral:rRNA from 1 species